rnacentral:rRNA from 1 species
UACGUAGGGUGCGAGCGUUGUCCGGAAUUAUUGGGCGUAAAGCAGCUUGUAGGCGGUUUGUCGCGUCUGCUGUGAAAAUCCGGGCUCACCCGGACUUGCAGUGGGUACGGGCAGACUAGAGUGUGGUAGGGGAGACGUGAAUUCCUGGUGGUAGCGGUGGAAUGCGCAGAUAUCAGGAGGAACACCGAUGGCGAAGGCAGGUCUCUGGGCCACUACUGACGCUGAGAAGCGAAAGCAUGGGGAGCGAACAGG